UUCCUGGCCGGCAUGUUCGAAAAACAACAACAAAUCACAUGGGCUUCAUCUAGCGAAGUUCAAAACAAAGCAGGCUGACAAAAUUCUGUCGGCACUUCUGCCACUGCCGAAGUUCGAACUUUUUUGUUGUUGUUUAUUUCGAAGUAAUUCGGAGCAGCGGCUGAAGUAGGGAGAGGGUUGGACGGAGAGGAAACGGAGAUAAAAAUCAAAAUAUCAAGAACAAAAUGAACUGUGUAGGCUUUUGAAUACCCUUUUUUAGAAGCGCUAGUAUAUUUAUUAAUUUUUAAGAUGAUAUAUAAAUGAUUUUUAUUGAUUAAAUGUAAUAACAUUUUGGAAGUUAUUGUAAAGUUGCAGUAGACGCCAAAAUGUUAAUAUUUGAUUAUCUGCCUUAUGUGAUUUUAACUACAAGGCAUUGUUAUGGUCGGAUAUACUCUGGCACGCGUCAGGCAGAAAUUUCGGUUUCGUUUUUCGUUCUCCGCAUUCCCUUUGCACUUGAAUUCAACUGCAACAGAGGGAGGAAGUGUUUUUAAAAUGAAAAUUUUAGGCAAUUAUUAAUUAAUCAUUGCAUAAAUUUAAAUAAAUAAUCAAUAAAUAAAUAAAUAUAUUUGCACAUUUGAAAUACGGUGUCUAAGCGCGGCAAAAACGUAUUAGCUGACGGCCAUGCUACAGAUUUUCCUUAAGGGAAAAUCCAAGGAUGCAGAGGUACCUGAUUCCUUCCCGAUCGAAAGUGAGGAGGAGCUGGUGGCGUUAGAAGUUAAAAUAUGCUCGUCUACUAAAACCGCCUAUAUCGAGACCAUCACCGCCAUUCUUAGGCGAAAUAUUUUGCCUAAGUCAAUUAUUAUUUGUCAGAGCUCCUUCUUUGCGACUUUAAUAUAGACGGCGUGAAUGGAAAAAAGGCCCUUAAGGGCUUUCCAGGGUUUUUUUCCGUUAUAGUCGACAGCAUAUCUGCGUUGGGAGGCCAGCUGCUGGCGGAAAAGUUCCUUGCGCACGCCUUAUCUUGCUCAAAAAACAACGCAAAACAAAA